AAUGGAUGAGGUAAAUACAAGGUGAGGUACCAUAGGUCCAUAGUGCAUGCUAUUUGCAAUCUUGAUUUUUGCACGGAUUGUAUAGUUUCGAUUAGAGAAAAUCUGUAAGAAGUUAACAAUAAGUUUAAGAAAUAGAGCACUUGAAAAAAAGGGAUUAAGGACAAGUAGACAUUAAACCGAGUAUAUUAUAGAAUAUGAGUUUAGACUAAAAUUUAGAGGAACACUA